rnacentral:lncRNA from 1 species
UUUAUCACCGUGACAAUUAACAACCUCCUUUCCUCACAUUCUCAUCACAAUACACACUAAAACACUGGUUAAAAAAAAUUGGUACAACAUUUCUAACAUCAAGAUGCACACUGCAGAUAAAACAAAUUCCUAAGCUCUUAAUUAAGAGGUCAAACAUCAGCUAGAUGGGCGGUUAUUACUGACAGGAACCACAAGUGAACUGCUUGCAUCAUGUGGUUGCGUCUUCCAUGCAAGCCUCACAGAAGUAUAGAUCUGCGAGGUUUCAGCCAUUGCACCAUUCCCGUGAUCGCCGCAAGCCAAUCUUUUGGUAACUGGGGGAUCAAGAUUAUGCCCAGUUGGUUGAUCGUCUGAAGAUGAUGCUCUCUAAAUGGGUUGUUCCACAUUAAUGUGUUCAUAGCUGGGGCAACAAAGAGCGGUUUGUUGUAGUCCCACGCUCUCACAAUGCAUGUUAAGAGGUUGUCACAUAACCCACCGGCGAUCUGAACAGAAUAAUCUAGCAUCAGUUUUGUUUUUGUAUAAAGUGAAACUAUUUCACCAUUCAUAAAGAGAAAAAGGUACCAUAGCCAGGGUAUUUGCUGAUAAUUGAGCAAUGACCAUAAUAUCUGCCCAUUUACACAGCUCAAUGUGUAAAACUUCAUCUCCUAUCUUCUUCCAGGUAGACCACUCAUCGUCAUCCGUGUAAAGAACAAUGUCACUUGGUAGAGACAAUUUAUCAAUAAAGUGCAAAGAUGAUGCGGUGGCCACGGCAUGAACAUCCGCCCACUCAGAGAAACAACGACAAAGGUUCUCAAAUUUUAUAGUGGCUACACUUCCCGAAGCAGCAAGGAGUACCCGAGGCUUACUAGGUUGUGAGUAGUCCAUCGCCAAAUUCUCUUGUACCGGCUCUGAUGUAGCCAUCAGCUCCGCUUGAAAUGCUCAGCUACAUAUAAUUAGAGCAAGUGAGAGGAUUUGUACAAGUAUAGAAAAACAUGAUUAACAAUGAAAGAUCUAGAGAGAAAUAAAAGAAAAUAGAGAAUAAAUCAUUUCCAAUAAGAAAAAGUUACUUUUCCAUCACUCCAUGUGGCCAUGAGUUUAUUUUUGUAAGGCCGAGGAAUGAUAUGUUUCCAGAUUAUUGACUCUUCUAGUGCUAUGGAAAAUCAGCAUUCCAAGUUUCAAUGAUAAGCGCUUUUCUUUAUCCUCUGCUUAUUUUCAGUUCGAGAAAGGUAGACAAUGUGAUUCCUGUGCAGAACAGUUCAGUGAAACAUACAAAUCUGAACUCUCCUGCAAAUUAGGAAUACAUGCACAUAUUGUCUCGUGUCUCCUCUUAUAUCUAACGACCAUAGGCUAUACAUAAAUAAAGAUAAGGGUUCUAGCACCACUACUGUAUUAUUUCCACGAGCCUAUGCUAUGACUACUGCUAGACAGAAUGCAUCGAAUACUUCAUAUACUGAGGAUUUUGAACACAGGCUAUGCCUAUAGAAUUGUAGAGUUACAGAACAGUACUGCACAUAUCGGUUGAAAGUAAACCAGCAAAGUGAAAUCCAGUUUGUUUUUCGGUCCCUCAACACCAAACCUGCCCAAUUGGCCCAAUUGGUAGAGGCGUGAGCGUGAGGAUACCGGGAUAUGAUCCCGACAGAUUAAUUCUGUAGUUCCCUAAACUCCCUACAGACCAUGGAGGCAAUGAACUAUGAAAUGACCUCCUACUGUAAUUUUGUUCAAAAGGAAUAAAUUAGGCGUAUGGGUAAUAUGAGGGCUGGACACAAUUGGUUUGCAUGAGAGUUCAAUUCUUGGAAAAAUAAAACGCAUUCACUCGCAUUACAUGCUUACAGCGUCCGCCUUACACCCGAGGCGUCCAAUAAACGUUGCUUUGGCGUCUGAAUCACGCCAGAUCGCUUGUGGCGGGCGCCAUACGGACCGACAGUAGGAGAAAGUUGGAGAUCUAUUGGGGAUCGGCAGGAGUGAGAGAGAUGAUUGGGAGGUUUCUCUCACCACCAAGCGGGAGAGGAAGGCAGAAGCAGCAGGACCUCGAUGUCGCCGCGUUGUCCUUGCUGCCGCACCGCCCGUCGAGUAGUAGCUGUCGCCAAGUCACGCCUGAUCUGACGGGGCAAGAGUGGUUUGGGGAGGGAGGGGAAGCAGUAGAGAGAGAAGCACAAAGGAGAGGGGCGGCGGGAAGGAGGAGAUCGGCGGCGCUGGAGACGAGACAGGAGAGCGGCGGCAAGAGCUAGGGGCGGUGACGGCUGAGGAGAUUGGGCUGCGUGGUCUGUUUGUCGCCUGGGCUAGCCCACUUCCUCUGCACAUCCUAUACAGUCCAUAGUUCUGCUCUGCUCACCUCGCCAAACCCCACAGGCCCGCACGCGUUAGUAGCUUCGUAGCAUCUCCAGGAGUCUACUAUCUAAAACACACUACCUAUUUACACAUUACCUAUUUCUCUAUUUAGAUAGCCACUUAUUGUUAUAAACUACCUCUACCUAUAUUUUAUUCUAAACUCUAGUAGUUUUAUCUAAAACAACCUACCAAAACAAGUCCAUGUAAUGUCAUUCUCUUCAAUGUUCUUCUCGCCGGAGGAGAGUUCAUCGAGAAAUGGCCUGUCGCGUACCGGGAAACAUCGGAGCAGAGCGCAACCACCAACCACACCAGGAAGCCCGCGCUGCCUCCCGCGAGGCUCGCCACAGAGCCGCCGCCGUUGAUGAGGGCAUUGUCGGAGGAGAUCUGAGGCCGUGCAGGAUAGAGGCAGCUCGUCACGCUUGGAGCAAGCUCACUGGGGAUGAGAAGAGCCAAGUUCACGCCUGUGCCAGCGAAGAGGAGCGCCGUGCAGGCUCACCAAGGAGAGGUGGGGAGCAAGAUGCAUCUCGUCAUGUUGUGCAGGCUCGCCGAAGCAGUGGCGGAUCUAGAAUUUUGCUAUAGGUUAUGCCACAUCAAAACUUUCAUAUCUUGGUUGGAUGUGUGAUGAAGUAAAUUUUUUUACAGUAAUAAUGGAGUUAAAGUAUCCUUUCAAGAUAUGUGUGAUGAAGUAUAUAGGAAAACAUAUUGUAAAAAAAUAUAUAUAUAGUAAAACAAAAAUAUGUGUGCGGUAAUAGUGCAUCAAAAUUCUCAUCCUGUGGCGAACCUCUUUUUUUUUUAACCUGGCUAUGGCGAACUUUCCAUACCACAAAACCAAGUUGACUUAGUAUAUAGAAAAACAAAUGGAAAUAAUGCAGCCAAAGUAUCUCUUCAAGAAAUGAUGAAAUGUAACAUCGGUUAAUGAUAAUUUUUUGAAGAGCGGUUAAUGAUAAUUGAUAGUACGCAAUAAGACUCUAUUAUAUUUUUUCAUCUAUCGAGCAAAAUUGCAAAUGUUGUCGGUAACAGAAAAAAACAUCAGCAAAUCCGCAUGCAUGUCGCUGAAGAGACUCAUCCUCACUAUCGAUACUGAGCUGGCAGUAAUUUAUCACCGUGACAACUGACAACCUCCUUUCCCCACAUUCUCAUCACAAUACACACUAAAACACUGGUUAAAAAAAAUUGGUACAACAUUUCUAACAUCAAGAUGCACACUGCAGAUAAAACAAAUUCCUAAGCUCUUAAUUAAGAGGUCAAACAUCAGCUAGAUGGGCGGUUAUUACUGACAGGAACCACAAGUGAACUGCUUGCAUCAUGUGGUUGCGUCUUCCAUGCAAGCCUCACAGAAGUAUAGAUCUGCGAGGUUUCAGCCAUUGCACCAUUCCCGUGAUCGCCACAAGCCAACCUUUUGGUAACUGGGGGGAUCAAGAUUAUGCCCAGUUGGUUGAUCGUUUGAAGAUGACGCUCUGUGAAUGGGUUGUUCCACAUUAAUGUGUUCAUAGCUGGGGCAACAAAGAGCGGUUUGCUGUAGUCCCACGCUCUCACGAUGCAUGUUAAGAGGUUGUCACAUAACCCACCGGCGAUCUGAACAGAAUAAUCUAGCAUCAGUUUGUUUUUGUAUAAAGUGAAACUAUUUCACUAUUCACAAAGAGAAAAAGGUACCUUAGCCAGGGUAUUUGCUGAUAACGGAGCAAUCACCAUAAUAUCUGCCCAUUUACGCAGCUCAAUGUGUAAAACUUCAUCUCCUAUCUUCUUCCAGGUAGACCACUCAUCAUCAUCAGUGUAAAGAACAAUGUCACUUGGAAGAGAUGAUCUAUCAAUAAAGUGCAAAGAUGAUGCGGUGGCCACGGCUCGGACAUCCGCCCACUCAGAGAAACUACGACAAAGGUUCUCAAAUUUUAUAGCGGCUACACUUCCUGAAGCAGCAAGGAGUACCCGAGGCUUACUAGGUUGUGAGUAGUCCAUCGCCAAAUUCUCUUGUACUGGCUCUGAUGUAGCCAUCAGCUCCGCUAACGCUCAGCUACAUAUAAUUAGAGCAAGUCAGAGGAUUUGUACAGGUAUAGAAAAACAUGAUUAACAAUGAAAGAUCUGGAGAAAAAUGAAAGAAAAACAGGGAAUAAAUCAUUUCCAAUAAGAAAAAGUUACUUUUCCAUCAAUCUACUAUUGUCAAUGUACAUCUUUUUUUAUUGAUGGUCAAAGCUGACAAAAUUUAACUUACAACAAACCUAAAUGGACCUACAUUUACGGCCAGAUGAGGUUGAUAUAAUCACAAAGCAUAGUGUAGCUCUUGUUAGUAGACCUUUACAUUAGGAUAAUAUUUGAAUGAUAAUAAUCGACUUCCUCUUUCCUAUAAUGAAAACCACAAUUAAAUAAAAAAGACAGCGCAGCCAGAGUUUUCUUAGAAGAGCCUCCUUAUUGCUAUUGCUUCAGAAAGAAUUUUCCUUAUUAUCCCAGUCACAGUGUGGCCGUUACACCACCACCAGCAUCAAUCAAAUUGGUAACUCCCAAAGACCCAAGAAACCGAUAGUGUAUUCACAGCAGAAACAAAAGCAAAUGUUUCCUGUCACUCAUAUGCAUGCCUCCUUUACUAAAAGAAGAUGGAGCACGGUACUGCAUCAUAAAAGAAGCAUCUUCUUCCCAACAUGGUAUUAGUUUGCACCUUCCGAAUUCACAACCAUGCUUUUUUCCGUCUGUUCAACGAAACAUUAUUUGAAUAUACAUAAACAGCAAACGAAGCUGGCAAGAGACAACAAAAGAACCAAUUACUACUGUUAUCAAAUGAGCCAGCAAAGCAUAAACUUGAUAUGCUGCCCUAGACCCCUAGUGGACGCUCUCAAAUCAGCGCCGGCCUCAAACUCAUGAAUUGCUUGCAAUUCCAGCCUUAAUUAUACUAAUAAUAAUUAAACUCGAGCGAAGCCAAGAUAUAGAGCCUCAAACCCAUCAAUUGCUUGCAACGCCACACUAAUCAUAAUCACACUCGAGCGAAGCCAAGAUAGCAAUAACAAGGUGAGCAAAGAGUACACAUGCUUUGCUUAAUUGCUCUCGUGCGGUGCACGCUCACGACGUGCACCCGACGCUAAAGCGGCGAGAAAAGAAGGGCUUUUUUUUCACAUCACGCACGCGACGGGACACUGGUGAAUUACCAGCCAACCGAACCGACCCAGUGUACCCGACAGAGGAGGAGGGAGAUCCGGACCAGAUCUACGCGGAAUUCACCAGAUCUAUCUAUCUAUCGAGAGAAGAAGCAAAGCCAGUACCUUUCCGCCGGUCGAUGAGCUGAUACGUAGCGCGCUCAGGCGACCGGCCCAUGGGGCGGCUGGCCCUCCGGCGGGGCAAACGAAAAGGAGCCCUCCCGCCCCGCCGCGGUUCGGGCUCUCCCUCCCUCCUGAACAAGGUCGAGUCGGCUCCGGGUCAGUCGGAGGCGGACGGGUGCGCGCCCGUGUCAAGGACGGAGACCGGGGCGGGGGCGGGGAAGUGGAGGUGAGCGGAGAGAGCGAAGAUGGGAGGGGCGUGGUCGCUGUGGAUGGAGGCAAGGCGGGUCCGCGGGUGGGUGGGUGGAUGGGAGCCGGAUUCAGGCCUUGUUUAUUUCGUCCAAAAAAAUUAAUUUUUUUUUUCAAAAUUUCCAUCGUAUCGAAUCUUACCACAUAGAUUAUUAAAUAUAGAUAAAAAUUUAAAACUAGUUGCACAGUUUGUCUAUAAAUUACGAGACAAAUUUUUUUAAGCCUAGUUACUUUAUAAUUGGACAAUAUUUGUCAAAUAAAAACGAAAAUACUAAAAUAUCAAAAUCUAAAAACUUUUUGGAUCUAAAGCCUGAGUAACUUUACAUCAAUCUCCACCCUCCAACUGACAUCUAACGACUGCACGGAGUUUCAGUUUCAUCGACCAAGCAUCAUAAAACAAGAGACAAAGCAUUUUUAAAUUAUAAGUUAUUUCAAAAAUUUCCGAGAGUCAAAGUAUUUUUAAGUUUAACUAAAAUUAUAGAGAGAAUACUAAGAUUUGUAACAUAAAACGAGUAUACUAUAAAAAUAUAUUUAAGAAAGAAUCUAAUGAUAUUUAUUUGAUAUCAUAAUAAUUGUAUUAUAUAAAUUUAGUCAAAUUUAGAAUAGUUUAACUCUCUAAGAUUUUUAGAAAGUCUUAUAGUUUGGGAUGGAGGGAGUGUCGAAAUAACUUUAUUCAUUUUAGCGGACGAAAAAAAGGAAGACAAAAAAAAUAACCAAAACAAAACGAAAAAACAAAUAAAAAACUAAAAAACUAUCAAGAUCUAGAAACUCCUCUUAGUUUAUAAAUUUAUUAAUAUUCACUACUCCCUCAGUCCUCAAAAGAAUAUAUAUUUUAUUUUCCAAGAAGUCAAACAAUAUCAAGUUUGACCAAAUAUAUAAACAAUUAUGUUAAUAUUUAUGAUGUGCAAUAAGAAAUCUAUAAAUAAAUUAAAAAAUAAAAAUAGGACCCGCAAGCAGCAAAUAGCACCACCACUCACCACUACACCGGUUUGCCACGCCAAUGUUAUCAUGCCAUCCUAGAGGCAGCUAAGAAACUCUUCAUGUUUGAAUAGGCGGUUAAUUAGAAAUUGAAGCAUAACUAUUAUAAACCUGGCGUUACUAGAAAUUAUCUUUUCCUAUUUAGAUAAGAGGGACUGCCCAUUAAAGAGCCAAAACGGAGACCAAGAAAACUAACCAAAGCGACUCUGCUAACAACAUGAAAAAGAAAAAUGAAGAAACAAAUAAAAAACACUGACAACGUAAGAAUAUCAAAAAACUCCUAUUCAGAUUAGAAAAAUAAUAAUAAUUCUUCAAUAUUAGAUAUAGGUAUAAACGUGAACUAAAAGUAUAUAUAUAAUUAUUUGUGUUGGCUGCCGGUUUAUUCUUGAGAGUGACCUACUGCUUAAUCAUUAUUUAUUCAACCUGUAAACUAUCAGAAACUUUUCCUUGAAAUCGCUUGUGCUGGCCUGCUAUGCUUGUGCGUGGUCCUGUUGGGUGGCAUGAUGAACCUAAAAGUCUAUGCAACCGUUAGAUUCUAGUUGUAAGGUGGAGAUUGAAGCAAAGUUAUGUUGUGACUUUACUCUAUAAAGUCACUGAAUCCGGCUCCGAAGGGGAAGUGCACGACGCGGUGGGUGGGGAUUCGGGUCUCGCACGGGCACACUGCACCUGGCAAUCGGACGGGCGUCUGCCGAUAUACGAAUGAAUAUGCGAUUGUCGGGGGGGGGACCUCUAGAACUGGAACCUCUCUUGUUCCGGUGGGGUGGUGUCAUGUGCAGGGUUGCCUCUCUGGUGCUGGUCGCAUGCGUGCGUCUGCGUUGACCGAGCCUAGGCGAGGGUGACUGAAAAUAGUAGGAGUAUGCUGUUGCAAUGCAUGGGUGUCGCAUACAGUUUGGUUGGUUUCCCUUCCCUCUCUUCUUGCAGCUAAGUUGCAACUUGCACGUUGCUGUUUCAAGGACUGCUGCCUAGGUCAAGUGUGUUUUCAGCCCAUGGAAAGGCGGUUAAGAGUUUGUCCAGAUUCGUAAAGCUAAAGUAGUUUUCGUUUCAAUAGUGUGUUGUUCCGUUACAGACACAUAGAUUCUAUUCAGUUAUAAUUAUGUAUUUUUCAAUUGGAUUUGGUUUAGUAGAAGUGCUAAGUAGCAUUAUGUCUAUUUAUAUAUAUAUGAGUUGUCUAUGCAACAACCGAGUGAUUUAGUACUCAUAUUCUUUUUUUCCUCUCCUAUUCAUCUUCUUCCUCUCCCCCGCCGACGCCCACCACACUGCCGCGGUGCGAUAAGACAUGGCUAGAGCUCUGUGGCCAUGUCCUAGACCUAGCCCAACCGGCUCCCCGUCGCUAAAGCCCCUAAACCGCCCAGCCACCAUCUCCCCCUCCCCGCCUGAGCAGGCUGCCUCCCCUUGUCGGCAUCUUUUAUACUCGUUGAAGUUGGAGAAGAAAGAGGAGAGGCUCGUCAUGACCCAAGCCACUCCCGCCGUCAUCUUCGUCUUCGAUAAAGGAGGAGGAGGCGCCUACCGCGUUGGUGCCAACGCCGGCGGAGUUGAGGAAGAAUGAGAAGGAGGUGGGGGAGAGGUGUUAGCGCAACUGAAAAAACACAUGUGGGUGGGGCUAAAACAACCAAAUGUUGUUUAGCAUUCCUCAUUUAAAUCGAUGAGAGCUACAACAUACUAUGGCGGGCUCAGAGAUGAAUUAGAAUCUAAUAUUGUAAUGGACUUAUUUCCUUCGUCUUUCACCUCUAGCGUUUUUAUUGAAGCUUCCUUAGCUAUAACAUUUUUGUGAGGUAGUCUUAUAAAGAUGUAGUGGUUUUGAGUGAAGGGUUCUUGCGGCCUCUCUAAUAGAGAGCGAUAUGUUUUUUUUCCUUGGCGAUGUUAUGUGGUGUCAUAUUUCUCAAUAAUCAUGAGAAACCUUGUGAAAAAUCCAACUUUCAUCUACAGGCAAAUGAUAACAGUGUCGUGUUCUCUUGGAGGCAUUGUCUUGUACUAGUUUCUAUCUCGUUUUGAAGAACAAUUAGGUGGCGAUGAUGUGGCCUAACUUAGGUGGGUAGUUUGUCAUCUGUUCUCAUGUUUUUAGAACUGAGCUUGCAAUGUUUAGUCUCAUUUCUUUUUUCUUAAUUAUAAAUAAAGGUCAUUGGUCUAUGUUACGCUACAACUUAUCUAACGUAAAAUUCAGGUGGUCAUGUUUCUACGAGUGGAGCUAUAGACCGUUUUGCUUUGGCAUGUGAGUGGCUAGGCUGAGGAUUUAGAGGAAUUUCAGAGAACUUAAUAAUAGGAUUUCACUUGAGCCAAACGGAACUUGUGUAGUGGAAUCGGACAAACUUCCAUACGUGAAGCUUUGUACCAGCAGCAUUCAACAUCAUCAAAUUUUGAUGUAUAAUUCCCUCAAAAACAUGAUGUAUAAAAAGGCACUGUACGAAAUAUCCUAAACAGCAAUCAGCAAGUUACAGGAUAAUUUGCAUACAUGGAUACGAUUGUAUAGAAUGCUUAAAGAAGAUAGCACAGAAUUACUCCAGUACAAUGUUCUUACAACCUGAAUAUAACGGAACAGUCCUUGUCCUGAUGUACUCCAAUGAGUGAUUAUAUACUACUUAAUAACUUCAUGCUCGAUCACACGGAGCGUGAUUUGCUCCUCUCUCGAGCAAUCAUCAAUCGAUCACGGCACGAAUUAUUCUCCCGGACGGCGACCUACACAUGUACGUACUUCUCUACCACCACAUCACAUGCCACCGGAGGUUUAUUCUUGUACUACUAAUUCAAUAAUACAACCAACUAUACAACUAAUUAAUUAAUUAAUUAAUUAAUCCAUCACCAGCUCAAUCAACCAACCAGCUAGUGACCCCAAGCAUUGCCAGUUUGCCACCAGCACCAAGCAAGCAGGCUCGCUCGCUUCAUUCGUCGGCUCCAUCGUGGUACCCGGGCCCGGCGGCCACCUUCCGGCUCUGCGGUGGCGCAGCUGGAGACGCGGGCGGCGAGUCGACGAGGCAGCGGCGGAGCAGCCGCGCCACGGCCGCCACGAGGUCGUCCUCGGCGGCGGACGCCGUCCUGUACGACGGCGCGGCGCGCGCGAACGCGACGUGGCGGUCGAGCGCCUCGGCCGUGGUGAUGGCGCUGCCCUCGCGCCGGAUCUCGUCGCCCACCGCCUCGGCGCAGAGCCCGCAGACCCAGCGGCCCAGGUACUCGGCGCGCACCGCCGCGAUGUACGCCGGCGUGCACUCCUCCGUGAACCCGCAGCACUCGCACUUGGCCUUCUCAACCUCCAUGGCCCUGCCCUGCGUUUUCCUUCACUCUCCCUUGCGGCAGCAGGUUCCAGGCUUUCACUUUCAGUGCAGACGACGUAGAGCUCGAUCGACCUCUCAGUCUUACCGCUCCUUCUCCCAGACGGCGUAGGACGACGGGACGGACGGCGCCGCUGCCGCGGCGCGGUGGCUGCUCUGCUCGCUCGGGACGCUUGCAACGACGACGACGACGGUUUCGGCGGCGGAUGCUGCCGGUGACAUCGCAGGCAGGCGACGUCUCUCCCUCCCUCCUCCGGUCUCCGGGCCUCUGCAGCAGCUCGGCUCGCCCUGCCCUGCACCGCUCGCCGCGCUAGCUAGCUAGCUAGAGCGAGUUCUCUCCUUCCCCGCGCCGCGCCGCGCUAUCUCCUGCUCCAACACCAUGUGGUCUCCAGGUGUAUUUAUCCACAAACGUCGUGGCAGCCACGGGGCCCGCGGGGAAGGCAACGCCGCUAUCUACGAGGCCCCACCCAGCACCUCUGCGUCCUGACCCCACACGUCGGUCGGCGUGGGUCGGCUAGCCUCCCGUGUCUGCAGGAAGGCAGGGCCGCGAAAGGGCGGUCCACGUCAGGGCGCCGAGCUGAGCUGGAGGCGCGCCCACCCUUUCCAAAGUUUUCAUUGUGUGGACCGUGACAGCUGGCGACGGGUGGGGCCCGUGCCGGAAGCGAGCGAGUGGAGGGGAGCGGCGGCCGCAGCGCCAGCGCCACUCGUCGGCUCCGGUUGGGUGGGUGUGGAUUCGGUGCAGGUUCGGUUCAGCAUUCAGCUGGCCAGUCGCUGUCGUGAGGGCCCCGCGCGCCCAUUUUCCUUGCUGGUUCCGUGCUUUUUAAAUUUCUAUAAUUCUAAAAACAAGGAAAAGGAUUUUGGCGCCACUGAUGUUUUUGUCUGGGGUUGGUGCCUCCAAUCAUUCAUAGGGGUAGCUGAAUUACUCUUGGAGGAGGAGAAUUGGAAAGAAAGAGAUGGCGUCUCAGUUAAUCAGUUGAAGUGUUAGAGAGAACCAGUAACUUCUUGUAGGUCGUGCUAUUUUUCAUUAAAAAAAACAAAACAAAUUUGCAGCAUACUUUCUCCAUCUAAGGCCGGCUCUAUAAUUUUAAAGGUCUUUGGGCAAGUAAGAAGAUAAGGACCCGUUCAACUAACUUUUAAUAUCAAAAUUACUUUAUAUAGUACAGAUAAUAAAAAUUACUUUGCAAUAUAUGUGUAGUUCAUAAAACAUAACAAUAUUUUGUUCUUCUUAUUUUCUUUUCUUUUCUUUUUUUAGUACCCAACAAAUAUUUUUUAGGCAACAUCUAAUAUAUUUAGAUAAAUACAUUGAAUUAUAAAUUUAUAAUCCUAGGCCCUAGCACUAUACUAGCGUAGUCCAUACACAAAACAAAAAAGAUAAAAUGAAAAAUACUAAUCGAUCAUGGUUGUUGGUGUGUUGCUUACUAUGAUGGCGUGUGUGUUUGUUGUCCGCUGUCCCAAUUGUUAUGUAGAGUAGGACUAGAAGGAAGAGUUAUCUGGCUUUGGCUAGUUUGUCUUGGACCUCCAAAUGCUCAUUAUGCCAAAUAGAAUAUAUAUAUAUAUAUAUAUAUAUACACACACACACACACUCUUGGCUCUUGGGCCUCCAAGCUCCAUGGGCCUCCGGUGGUCGCGUGGGAGUGGCCAUAUAUAUGUGCGUACGGCCUUCGUGUACGAUGAUCGAUGAGCGUCCGACCAGGGCGCACACAAGUCCAGCCUUGGCUGUGCAAGCUAGCUAGCAAACGUGACGAAAGUCGAGCACAAUGGUUUUGGUGGAAAGAUGCACGCGACUGGUACAUAGCAGGUCGUAGUACUGCUUGCUCGUGCACAUGCCUGAGUUGUAUGGAAGCUAGGCGUCGCUAUCAUCCUGGCCGUCCGAUCGAGGUACGACUGUACCAGUGUACUGUUGAGGUGCCGUGCGCCACCGUGUACACUUUGGAAGCUAGUGCGUGCCGCAAGAGGACGAGCUAGGAAGGGACUCAUCACGUGUGGCUACGCUACGCCUAGUCUCCUACUACGUAUACGCGAGCUCAGCAUUCACCAUUCACCCGUAUAUAUCGUCUUCGUUCGAUGCCGCUACAUCCGUGUCAGGUGGCUAAAUAAGCGCAGUGGAUUUAGCUGCUGGUCAAAGUCCAGUUGCCCAGUUGGCCGGCCAGGAAACGCGUCGGCAACUUGGCAUCGCCGGCCACCGCGUCGCGUAGAGACGACGGCCGCGGGCGGGCGGGCGCCAAAGGCGAGCAGACGUGCGGCGUGCCUCCCGCUGGCGCGGCCUCGACCCGACCCGGACCCGAUGUCAGCUGUGGUUGCGGUUGCGGUUCGUCCUUUGAACGUGCCUACAACUAGAAGCCGGGCGACACGCCGCGGCGAAACCGGAGGACAGGUCGCGUCCGGCGUCCGUCGUCAGCCGUGCUCAGCGUCUGGUCCGAGUCCGAUCUGACCCUUCCUCCGCCCGCCUGCCGUGUUCUCUUCCGUGGAGACGCGACGACGCAGGCUGCCGCCGCCGCCGCCGCGCGCCAGGGCUCGUGUGCGUGUGCGUCUCGCUGCGCCCGACCCUCACCGGAUGCAGGCCGCGGUAGGACAUGAGCGCCCAACAGCCGGCAGGUGACGUGACGGUGAAACGUGAGCCGAAUACAGCGGCGGCGUUCAUGGGUAAGGCCUUGUUUAGUUCCGAAAACUGAAAAGUUUUCGGAACUGUAGCACUUUCGUUUGUUUGUGGUAAAUAUUGUCCAAUCAUAGAUUAACUAGAGUCAAAAGAUUCGUCUCGUGAUUUACAGUCAAACUGUGUGAUUGGUUUUUGUUUUCGUCUAUAUUUAAUGCUUCAUGCAUGUGCCGCAAGAUUUGAUGUGACAGGAAAUCUUGAAAAUUUUUUGAAUUUCGGGAUGAACUAAACAAGGCCUAAGGGUAAUCUCCCGGCGGGACCACGCCGGAUACAGUGAUUAAUAACGUGACCCGUCGUGACAGCGCCUGCAACGAUCCGGCGCAUGAUGAGCGGCUCGUACGACGGUACACUAGUACACUGACGGCACCGUACCUGUUCCUGUCGACAUCAGAUGGCCUUGUUUAGUUCCAAAAAAUUUUACAAAAUUUUUCAGAUUUCUCGUCACAUCGAAUCUUUAAACGCAUACAUAAAGUAUUAAAUAUAGAUGAAAAUAAAAACUAAUUGCACAGUUUAGUCGGAAUUGACGAGACGAAUCUUUUGAGCCUAGUUAAUCCAUGAUUGGAUAAUAUUUGUCAAAUACAAACGAAAGUGCUAGAGUAUCGAUUUCCCAAAAUUUUUGGGAACUAAACAAGGCCAGGCUUUGUUUACUUCGAAAAGUGAAAAAUUUUUGGUACUGUACCACUUUCGUUUGUUUGUGACAAAUAUUAUCCAAUCAUAGAUUAACUAGGAUCAAAAGAUUCGUCUCGUGAUUUAUAACUAAGCUGUGUAAUUAGUUUUUGUUUUUGUCUAUAUUUAAUGUUUAAUGCAUGUACCACAAGAUUCGAUAUGACGGAGAAUCUUGAAAACUUUUUGGUUUUCAGAGUGAACUAAACAAGGCCGUAGUUCUGAAUGUAACAUUUUCGUUUGUUUGUAGUAAAUAUUGUUCAAUUAUAGAUUAAUUAGGAUCAAAAAAUUUGUCUCGCGAUUUACAGGUUGUAAUUAGUUUUUGUUUUCAUUUAUAUAUAAAGCUUUAUGUAUGUUUUUUUUUUUGAGGGAACUGGAGGGGCCGGAGCCCAGCUUUAUGCAUGUGCCGCAAGACUCGAUGCGAUGAGAAUUUUUUGGUUUUUGGGUUGAACUAAACAAGGCCAGAGUAGACCAGACGCUGCUAAUAGAGACGUGAUCACGUGAACGAAGUAGACUCCACGGGUUUACCCCUGGGUUCACACUUCCGUUCCAUUUCAUCACCUGUACUCCAUUCGUGGCCAGAAACCCUUUUUGACGGAUGUGCUCACUCACUGCCUCUUUGAUCUGCGACCGCGACAACUUUAUUAGACGGGACGGGCGAGCUGAUUUCCGUCUCAAAAUCCAAAUCGGCUUUGAGUUUUCUCUAUAUGUAAUCAUGAUCUUUCCUAGCAACCUGUGGUCCUGUUGUUGCUGAAGAUCGAAACAAUAUUUGGAGUAGACUGUGAUUAUAUACCUAUUAGAACAAAUCGAUUUCAUUUUACAUGUCUUAAACUCUUAAUAAUCAAAACAUCUUCGAUGAAAUGGCGCACAUGAAUCUGCAACACAUAAACCCCAAGUCAUUUUCUCUAUUGCAUAGGAAAGAGAAACGGCGACAUGACGCCAAUUUAUUAUGCACCGCAAUUUUCCAAGAAUUGAUAGUAAAUUACAAUUUGCAGUCCUGAUUGUUUUGAGGCCAUGAGAAUGCCACGUCGCGCACUUCCGCUUUCUUAAAGUGAAAAGCGUGAAGAUUUUUUUCGUUACGAUACGACUCUUUUCCUUUUGUCCGCACCAUUGCAAAAUUAUCAGUAGACUGGAAUUACUACAUUGAGUCAUUGACCCAUGGUGCAGUAUGCUGCCACUUGCAACACAAACGCGUGGCGAAAUCGAUGUUUCUGUCUUCUCCAUAUAUGUCCUUGGCUCAUAUAUAUUUCUGAAAUUCAGAUUCAGUGUAGUGAAAUGUACGUACACAGUUAUCCAAAUGUCUUAACGGAUUCCAAUUGACAAGCCUUUCCUCAACAGAUCCAUGUGAGGUGAAAACGUCCCUUCAUUGCUAGUGAGGUGUAGUGGAGACGACGACUCGAUUGCCGACCUGAUACUACUGGUUGUUGCUAUCCUCCUCCUCCAUCCCUGAUGCUUAUCUGCAUUCGGCAGGAGCUUGGCGAGCGACUCGGCGUUAUCUUUUGUUGGCCACCAGCUUUGGUGAAUCUGGCCUCAGUUUGUCCAUGUCAUUCUCACUUUGUUGUUCGUUCCUGCGCCCGCCAAAUGCCAAUGCACGUGCCUCCUAUUCUACCUGCCUGAAGUGAUACACACGUCUUCGGACCUGAACACUUGGGUGCAAAUAAAAGCGCAGGUAGGCCGUCAUGUACUCAUGUCUCGUCAGCUUGGCCAUGUUGCAGCUCCAUGAAAAGAUUAUCGUCGUGCUCGUUGGACCAGGAUUAGUUGAAAAGAUAUCCGUCGACACCACCCAUAUUUCGGACAGCGACACCAGUAAAUAGAUAGGCAAGAAUCUGAAAAUGAAGAAGCGACAGGAUCACAUCAAUGGCAGAUCCAAGUAAAGCAUUCAAAUGGUCAAGGUCAAGAGACACUCAUUCCAACCGUACAUAUAUAACAGGUGUGUCAAAGAGGGUAGAAAAGUUUGCUGCAGCGUUUAUACAGCUGCAUAAGAAUACUUACUGACAAUUACAAACUCAAUAGACUCGUUAUCACUAUCAUUACUGGGCCGGGAGGAAGCUACCUCUGUCACUACAAGCUUCCCCCCAACUCUCAAUAUUCUACUCAUCAUCACAGGUAAAGACAAUACAGAUGCAUAAAAGAGUACGUCCACUGGGGGGAUCAAGAUUAUGCCCAGUUGGUUGACCGUUUGAAGAUGACGCUUUGUGAAUGGGUUGUUCCACAUUAAUGUGUUCAUAGCUGGGGCAACAAAGAGCGGUUUGCUAUAGUCCCACGCUCUCACGAUGCAUGUUAAGAGGUUGUCACAUAACCCACCAGCGAUGUGAACAAAAUAAUCUAGCAUCAGUUUUGUUUUUGUAUAAAGUGAAACUAUUUCACUAUUCACAAAGAGAAAAAGGUACCUUAGCCAUGGUAUUUGCUAAUAAUGGAGCAAUCACCAUAAUAUCUGCCCAUUUACGCAGCUCAAUGUGUAAAACUUCAUAUGCUAUCUUCUUCCAGGUAGACCACUCAUCAUCAUCAGUGUAAAGAACAAUGUCACUUGGUAGAGAUGAUCCAUCAAUAAAGUGCAAAGAUGAUGCGGUGGCCACGGCUCGGACAUCCGCCCACUCAGAGAAACUACGACAAAGGUUCUCAAAUUUUAUAGCAGCUACACUUCCUGAAGCAGCAAGGAGGACCCGAGGCUUACUAGGUUGUGAGUAGUCCAUCGCCAAAAUUCUCUUGCACUGGCUCUGAUGUAGCCAUCAGUUCCGCUUGAAACGCUCAGCUAUAUAUAAUUUGAGCAAGUAAGAGGAUUUGUACAGGUAUAGAAAAACAUGAUUAACAAUGAAAGAUCUGGAGAGAA